rnacentral:rRNA from 1 species
UCCUUACGGGAGGCAGCAGUGAGGAAUAUUGGUCAAUGGGAGAGAUCCUGAACCAGCCAAGCCGCGUGAGGGAAGACGGCCCUAUGGGUUGUAAACCUCUUUUGUCGGAGAACAAAACCCGGGACGUGUCCCGGACUGCGUGUAUCCGAAGAAAAAGCAUCGGCUAACUCCGUGCCAGCAGCCGCGGUAAUACGGAGGAUGCGAGCGUUAUCCGGAUUUAUUGGGUUUAAAGGGAGCGUAGGCCGGUCUUUAAGCGUGCCGUGAAAUUUUGUGGCUCAACCAUGAGAGUGCGGCGCGAACUGGAG